rnacentral:lncRNA from 1 species
AUGCGUGGCAAUGAAACCGGGUCUUCAAGCGGACAAGCUGGAACAGACAUACGCUUGAAGGGAACACUUUAAAUGUGAUGAUAGGGACUUUCCGGAUGGCGAUCAAGCAUGUUUUGAAGAACCAAACACAAACUUUUGAAGCUUCCGCGUUAGUUUAACUUUGAUUAGACAAUGUUUAUGAUGUAUACAAGUUACUAAUCAUGUUUUGAAUGUUUAAACUAGUUUAGUAGUUAACUAGUAUGUAGUCACUUUAAUACUUUAAAUUUUUACUUGCGUUGAAGUAAAGUAUCCUUU